rnacentral:lncRNA from 1 species
UAGUGAAAAAAAAUGCAUGCACACACUCACAUAUACACGAUCAUGCCCUCUAGUGACCCCAGGACAAUCUGGUGUGUGUGAUGGUGACCCAUAUUUGGGGAUGGGUGACCUGGCCAACAGUAAAUAAGUGAAACUGUGAAGUCUUAGCACCAACGUGUGCUUUUCAGUCAUAAAAAAAAUACAAACACAUGCCCACCCACCAAGGACAACAGAAAGUAUAUGGUGGCUAGGCUGCAUAUGGGGAGGAAGGGAAGUUCAAUGCACACGUAUCUUGGAAACAAAUCUGGGAAGUGAAAACUGAAAUUAUCCCAUGGUUGCCACAUUGUCAUGGUUGAUGCAGGGAAAGGGGGAGGAAAAGGGCAAUAGCAAAUGAGAAUGAGUGUAAAAUGUAACCAGGUGAGGAGAAAGAGAGAACAGGAUAAUCCAAACCUGAUGUAAGAAAGUAUCCACCCAACAAUAGACCAGAUGGGCGGGAUAUAAAUCAAACAAAUAAACAAACUAACAAACAAAAGAACCUCAAAAUGUUUCAGUCAGAAGCAGCUCAGAAUAUACUGGCUCUGACAGACCCCUUGAUUUUUGGAAAGGGCAAAUAAAAUCACACAGGAUUUGCAGGAAAACUGUCUAGUGCAAAAUGAAAUAAUGGAGGAAUGCCAUAUGGAUGCUAUAAAGAACUCAGGUUUGCCAUUAAGUCAGGAAGGACUGGAGGACCCACAACACACAUACUUUCCCAGCCUACUAGAAAGACUUCAGACUCAAAAUGCAAACCAAGCAGACACCUGAAAGGUCUUGCUAACAUCUGAAUGACAAGGUCAAGGAAAAUGUCUGGCGAGACGCCCCACCUUUCCUUUGGUGGUUGUUAUUACCUGCUGCUCUUUCUCAGAACAAGGACAAUUCAAGUAAAAUCUUCCUGGAGGCAUGAAACCUUCAAUUAAUAUACAUGACAAAAAUGUCAGUGUGCAAAAGGAAAGAGAAAAGGGCUUUUUUUUAUAAUUGCCUGUCUCAAGAUUUAUUGAGAUAUCCCCAUCACAUUAAAUUGGCAUUACAAGAUCAUUUUAUUACAAGUAUACAGAUGCUAUGCUUUGAGUAAUAUAUUUAGGAAUUUAUUUUCUGAUGGAAAACUAGAAGACUAGAAAAGAAGGGGAAAAGGUCAUUCAUUACCGAUUCUUCCCCAAGACAAAGGAAGUGCUUAAGUGAACAAGACAGGGAGGUUGUGGGCCUAUGUGAGAGAAAAGAACCUUUGAUACAAAUACACAUUUGUAAAAACAAUAAGUAAAGAUUGUGUUUGUGUGUUAAGCAACCACCUUGAAAUUGAUCUGCCUUCAAUGUCCAAACAACUGCAGUCUACCUUACCAUGAAUGAUUUAUGACAUUCAUGAACCUGGCAAGUGCAUCAGCUUUUUUUAGAAGGUGCCAUGCAACACCUCCUGCAUAUUAAAUAAAGAUUUAUUUUACACACA